GGGGAGGCCCAACCAACAGGAACUGCUAAUUCUUGCCCCUGAACCUAAAACUUCAGUCCCCUUGA
rnacentral:tRNA from 1 species